rnacentral:rRNA from 1 species
GACGAACGCUGGCGGCGUGCUUAACACAUGCAAGUCGAACGGAAAGGCCCUGCUUUUGUGGGGUGCUCGAGUGGCGAACGGGUGAGUAACACGUGAGUAACCUGCCCUUGACUUUGGGAUAACUUCAGGAAACUGGGGCUAAUACCGGAUAGGAGCUCCUGCUGCACGGUGGGGGUUGGAAAGUUUCGGCGGUUGGGGAUGGACUCGCGGCUUAUCAGCUUGUUGGUGGGGUAGUGGCUUACCAAGGCUUUGACGGGUAGCCAGCCUGAGAGGGUGACCGGCCACAUUGGGACUGAGAUACCGCCCGGACUCCUACGGGAGGCAGCAGUGGGGAAUAUUGCACAAUGGGCGGAAGCCUGAUGCAGCAACGCCGCGUGCGGGAUGACGGCCUUCGGGUUGUAAACCGCUUUCGCCUGUGACGAAGCGUGAGUGACGGUAAUGGGUAAAGAAGCACCGGCUAACUACGUG